GACACUUUGGCCGAGUGGUUAAGGCGGUGCCCUGCUACUAGCGUAUGCGAGGCAUUACAUUCGUGUGCGUAGGUUCGAAUCCUGCAGGUGUCG
rnacentral:tRNA from 1 species